GGGAUUGCCUUAGUAACGGCGAGUGAAGCGGCAAAAGCUCAAAUUUGAAAUCUGACACCUUUGGUGUUCGAGUUGUAAUUUGGAGAGGCAUCUUCUGGAGGGGCCCAGCCUAUGUGCCUUGGAACAGGACGUCAUAGAGGGUGAGAAUCCCGUACUUGACUGGAUGUUCCCUCCUGUAUGUAGUGUCUUCUACGAGUCGAGUUGUUUGGGAAUGCAGCUCAAAAUGGGUGGUAAAUUUCAUCUAAAGCUAAAUAUUGGCGAGAGACCGAUAGCGCACAAGUAGAGUGAUCGAAAGAUGAAAAGCACUUUGAAAAUAGAGUCAAACAGUACGUGAAAUUGUUGAAGGGGAAGCGCUUGGGACCUAUCCUGGCCAUUGACGUUCAUCCACGCCCUCCGGGGGGCAUUGCACUCGUCUUUGGGCCGGGCCAGCAUGGGUUGGGACGGUGGGAUAAAGGCUGGGGAAAUGUGACUCCUUUAUGGAGUGUUAUAGUCCCCGGUGGCAUGCCAUCAGUCCCGACCGAGGAUCGCGCACCGGCACGGAUGCUGGGUAAAGGUCUUCAGCGACCCGUCUUGAAACACGGACCAAGGAGUCUAACGUCUAUGCGAGUGUUUGGGCUUCAAACCCUCACGCGUAAUGAAAGUGAACGGAGGUGGGAACCCCGAAAGGGGCGCACCAUCGACCGAUCCUGAUGUCUUCGGAUGGAUUUGAGUAGGAGCAUAGCUGUUGGGACCCGAAAGAUGGUGAACUAUGCCUGAAUAGGGUGAAGCCAGAGGAAACUCUGGUGGAGGCUCGCAGCGGUUCUGACGUGCAAAUCGAUCGUCAAAUUUGGGUAUAGGGGCGAAAGACUAAUCGAACCAUCUAGUAGCUGG
rnacentral:rRNA from 1 species